rnacentral:ncRNA from 14 species
UUUAUGUUGAAAGUUAUGAUCUGCCACCAAUAUGUGGUCGCUUUUCUACUAUGUGAAUAGUAGGAUAUGGUGUCAGGGAGCUACUAGCGAAACCGGUCACUCAUGAU